rnacentral:rRNA from 1 species
CACGUAGGGUGCGAGCGUUGUCCGGAAUUAUUGGGCGUAAAGAGCUCGUAGGCGGUGUGUCGCGUCGGCCGUGAAAACCUGCAGCUUAACUGUGGGCUUGCAGCCGAUACGGGCGGGCUGGAGUUCGGUAGGGGAGACUGGAAUUCCUGGUGUAGCGGUGGAAUGCGCAGAUAUCAGGAGGAACACCGGUGGCGAAGGCGGGUCUCUGGGCCGAUACUGACGCUGAGGAGCGAAAGCGUGGGGAGCGAACAGG